rnacentral:rRNA from 1 species
CGGAGAGUUUGAUCCUGGCUCAGGACGAACGCUGGCGGCGUGCCUAAUACAUGCAAGUCGAACGGACUCUGGUAUUGAUUGGUGCUUGCAUCAUGAUUUACAUUUGAGUGAGUGGCGAACUGGUGAGUAACACGUGGGAAACCUGCCCAGAAGCGGGGGAUAACACCUGGAAACAGAUGCUAAUACCGCAUAACAACUUGGACCGCAUGGUCCGAGUUUGAAAGAUGGCUUCGGCUAUCACUUUUGGAUGGUCCCGCGGCGUAUUAGCUAGAUGGUGAGGCAACGGCUCACCAUGGCAAUGAUACGUAGCCGACCUGAGAGGGUAAUCGGCCACAUUGGGACUGAGACACGGCCCAAACUCCUACGGGAGGCAGCAGUAGGGAAUCUUCCACAAUGGACGAAAGUCUGAUGGAGCAACGCCGCGUGAGUGAAGAAGGGUUUCGGCUCGUAAAACUCUGUUGUUAAAGAAGAACAUAUCUGAGAGUAACUGUUCAGGUAUUGACGGUAUUUAACCAGAAAGCCACGGCUAACUACGUGCCAGCAGCCGCGGUAAUACGUAGGUGGCAAGCGUUGUCCGGAUUUAUUGGGCGUAAAGCGAGCGCAGGCGGUUUUUUAAGUCUGAUGUGAAAGCCUUCGGCUCAACCGAAGAAGUGCAUCGGAAACUGGGAAACUUGAGUGCAGAAGAGGACAGUGGAACUCCAUGUGUAGCGGUGAAAUGCGUAGAUAUAUGGAAGAACACCAGUGGCGAAGGCGGCUGUCUGGUCUGUAACUGACGCUGAGGCUCGAAAGUAUGGGUAGCAAACAGGAUUAGAUACCCUGGUAGUCCAUACCGUAAACGAUGAAUGCUAAGUGUUGGA